UACGUAGGGUGCAGGCGUUAAUCGGAAUUACUGGGCGUAAAGCGUGCGCAGGCGGUCUGCUAAGAGAGAUGUGAAAUCCCCGGGCUUAACCUGGGAACUGCGUUUCUAACUGGCAGGCUUGAGUGUGGCAGAGGGGGGUGGAAUUCCACGUGUAGCAGUGAAAUGCGUAGAGAUGUGGAGGAACACCGAUGGCGAAGGCG
rnacentral:rRNA from 1 species